rnacentral:misc_RNA from 1 species
UUUCCGUAGGUGAACCUGCGGAAGGAUCAUUAAAGUUAUAGUCCCCUGGCCCUCUGGGCUGGGGUCUUCUAUACCACCCUUUGUUUAUUACACCUUUGUUGCUUUGGCAGGCCUGCCCUCGGGCUGCUGGCUCCGGCCGGCUCGCGUCCGCCAGAGGACCUAAACUCUGUUUGUAUAUGAAGUCUGAGUACUAUAUAAUAGUUAAAACUUUCAACAACGGAUCUCUUGGUCCUG